UCACGAAAACAAAAGAAAACAGUGGAACCGAAGAGGGCAGCGCGCUGCCGCUCCACACACCGCUGGCGCCGCCGACGCAGUCCGCUCCUAAUGCCCUCUUCCGCCUCCUCACUGCAGCAGCAUCCCCACCGCUCACUACCACCUCCCCCUCCGGCCCUUCCCGAUUUGUCCUCCUGCCGAACCCGUCUCCUCCGACGCCGACGUCGGCAAACACGCCGCCGUCGCCGCCCGUCCCCCAAGUUCGUGACGCCUCUCCUCCCUCGCCCUCUGAUGUAGCAGGCCCACCAAUCCCCCUCCUCGCUGUUGUCCCUCCUACCCCAUCUCCUCCGAUGCCGAUGUCGGCAAGUACGCCACCGCCGCCGUCCGCCUCCGAUUCCGCGACCCCUGUCUUGCCUUAUCCUCUGACGCAGCAGCCCAAUCGCCCACCAACUCCCCCCUCCUCCUUCCCGGCGUCUCCUCCCUCCACCCCAUCUCCUCCGACGGCGACGUUGGCAAGUACGCCGCCGGCACGUUCCAUCCCCCGAGCUCGCGACGCCACUCUUGCCUCCUUCUCUGAUGCAGAAACCCGGCCACCCACCCCCUCCUCCUGGCCGCCUCUUCAGCGACGCCGACGCCAGCUUCCCUGCCGACGCGCUCCAGGCCGUUCCCUUCGAGUACUUGCUGGUUCACUCCCGCGUCCUCCUCCAGUAAACCCUGUCUUAGAGACGGCUGGUCUGGUGUGAUGGUUGACGGCUGGUCUGGUCUGGUGAGAUGCCUCUCCUUCCCGCCCGUCCCGCCUCCCAAGUUCAAAAUUUCUGUCAAAGUUCAAAUCCGCGCGCCCAGUUCGAACUCUCUAGAAACCACUCCUACAACCCAAUAUAAAUAAGUGGGCAGGCAUAUGGGACUCACGCUGCUCAAACUACACCCCCAAGAAGUCACACAUUGGUCAGGCAAACCUUUAGAUUGAAGGGAGUGUGAGGAAGUGUGAUUCACUCCUCUUCGCCAUCUAAUCUUCUUCGUCAAGGGCAAGGCCAAGCGCUUCACCUUUCAUCUAUGGAGUGGCGUGGUAUUUCCAUGGGAGGUUUUUGUGGCCCAUGUUUCACGCAUGAUGGCCAUACAUAAAAAAAACUCAUUCUAGCUUCCCCCGUCUGAAUAUUGUAUCAGUAGCAGUUGGAAAAGUACUGAAUGAUACACAUCUUACAUAACUGACUCCAACAUCCUGAAUUAUUUAUAUCUAAUCUGAUUGCAGUUUUUAUGCAUUUCAUAGCUUAUUUCAUCUAAUCAGUGUGCAGUUUGAAUGCAUUAUUUUGUAGCCAAUUCCAACAGAACUUGCUCCAGUGGCAUGCCAAGUGCUCAUACAAGUCUAUUUAUACGUGAGCCAACAGAUAUGACAAGUUCAAGUCACUCGUCUUUGGACGAUGAAGUGACAAACGAAUCAUCUACGAUUUUUCCUUCUAAUGGCAAGCUCAUAUCAACUGAGGGCUUGGAGCGCGGAAAAAGCUCAAAAGGGCGAAAGCGUGCAUGUGAAGCAAUAAGAUAUGCUAGCCGUACACCAGAACAAAUCCAAGCAAGGCGAGAACGUGUUAGAGCACGUCGGCAAAAUUUAACACCUGCCGAGAAGGAAAAGAUUAAUGCACAAAGAAGAGAAAAAAGACAACGAAUGGCACUUGAUGAGAGGAAUGCAAGCCAACGAGCACGUAGGCAAAGUUUGACAUUAGAUGAGAGGCAAGAAAUAAAUGCACGCCAGCGAGCACGUAGGCAAAGCCUACAACCUGAAGAGCGGCAAGCACUCCUAGCUCAACGUAAUGCAAGCUACGCAUCUAAACGAGAUGCCCUCUGCAGGGAUUCUAUUGCACUACAGUGACCUACAGGUUCAUUGGUGGGACAUCCAUCAUCAAGUUCUUAUGUCUUUAGCUACCCAAGUACGCUCGCACAAACUUCUGCUACAAUUCAAGGUAAUCUAGGAAGCAUAACUGAAAUGGUGGAAUAUGAUCACAUACUUUUCACUAGCACAGGAGAAAAUGAUACUACCCAGCAGAGGGAAGUCACAUCGGUGCAAUGUCCAACAUCUACAUCAGUGGACAAUUCAUCAUCACCCCACGAUGGUUUCGUAUGUUCAGAUUCCCCAAUAGA